GGGUUGUGAGGUUAAGCGACUAAGCGUACACGGUGGAUGCCCUGGCAGUCAGAGGCGAUGAAGGGCGUGCUAAUCUGCGAUAAGCGCCGGUAAGGUGAUAUGAACCGUUAUAACCGGCGAUACCCGAAUGGGGAAACCCAGUGUGUUUCG
rnacentral:rRNA from 5 species